CUUGAGUUGUCUCUCAUGUCUAGACCAUUUGUGAGAAGGGAGUUUUUGUUUGCACCAAUACCCACCAAUCUCUAAGUUUGUAAGAAGUAUUAUGCUCAAUUAAGGAAAAUAGCUAGUUCAACUUACCACACUACCCUUUUACAAACUAUCCUAUAUGUUAGAUGCUAGCAUGGCGUAAUUUUGUGUUCUCAUUCUGCAGCAGGGUUAGUUUCUUGUGUACCUCUAGAUAUUUAUUCUCUUGCUGCGUAGGGUUCCCAAGCUGCCAAAAACUUUUCAAAAUUAGAGAUCUGUUCCCCACUAACCCCCAUCCAAUAAGGAAGGUCUACCUGUAUGUAGCUCACAGCUAUUAAAGCUGUGCUCGCGUCUUGGUUUUACUGUUUUAGUUACCCCAUGAAAUCUGAUCCUUCAGAAGUUAGGUAUAGAAGUAAGUCGAUUAAGUUCAUUCAUGACUUUUCCAGAUGUUGCACAGAUAACUUUUUUAUUUGUAUUAUAACUAGUCCAAGCCGAUUCUCGAAAUCAUAUAAAAUCAUUUACACCUUGGUCAUGGUAGCCAAGAAUUUGUAUCUUACACUAGGUUUCCUAAUAAAUAAAAAUGGGGAGUGGGGAGGUGUUUGGUUAUAUUCCCUUCUCAUCGAUGGUCUAGAUGUGCGAGGUGACUCUCAUGGAGG
rfam:Arabidopsis lyrata subsp. lyrata unplaced genomic scaffold ARALYscaffold_7, whole genome shotgun sequence.